rnacentral:rRNA from 1 species
ACGGCGGCCGAGGACAAGCUUCUUUGCGAGUGUUGGCGAGACAUUGGACAAGACCCCAAGACAGGCGCCGAGCAAAAGCAUUCAACCUUUUGGGUUCGUGUUCAACGAGAGUUUCACGAGUGCAAGAAGUUUCGGCCAUACCAAUUUGUGAGCACGCGCGGGUGGGUGUCCAUUUCCAAACGAUGGAGGGUGAUCCAACAAGAGUGCAACAAAUUUUGCGCCGCUAUUGAGAGUGUCAAGGCCCGCCCCGUGAGCGGCAUCGGUAUGCAAGACAUGGCAUUUCAAGCUUUGGAGGCAUUCAAGGUUCAACACAAUGGCAAGUGCUUCAACCUCUCCCAUUGCUUUCGGGUCAUCAAG